GGGACAUCCGCGCUCAAGCCCCUGUGGCCCAGCCCUCCCAGGGGGUUCCCGAUCACCCCAACCUUGGACUCUAUACACCUGCAAGCCUGCAGGGGAAGUGCCUAAAGAAACUUCCCCUGUGCAGGUGCGUGUUGGAUUGUUUGGUCGUAAAGGGAUGGUGAUGAGGCGCGGGGCCGCAGCCCCCCUCCCCCCAGAUUGUGAUGUCUCCAGUUGAGGCCAUCCAGAAAGCGGCUUUCAAGGGAAGGCCAGCAGUCAAGCAGGGCUGGAGGCCCUUCCAUGAACAUACCUGUGUCCCCAAGAGGAGUAUACCGUGAAGGAGUGAGCGACCGGUCAUUCAUCGCUAACGUGAUAACCAGAUAGUGGAGAAUGACAGAUCAAAGUCAACUCCAGAGGAGAGAAAAUUGGCUUGGCAAAUUUCUGGGAAAAUAUACUUAAUCUCUACCACGAGAUAGAUGGUCUGGAACUUGGCAUGGAGCAGCUGUUUGUUAAGACAAAGAUAACUGUUCUUGAGAAUGGGCCGGAGGAGGCAAGAUCACCUUUAAUUGAAUCCCAACUGUGUACCGGAUGUUGGACCAACAGCUUAAAUAACUGCUUUGCUUUGUAUCAAAAUGGAAGGAAUUUUAGGUGGUUUCCAAGUGGCCUAGAAGCCAGCACUGACUAUGAGCUGACCUCUACAAUGUAUUUGGAUAUCCAGUGAACUAAUGUGGCCCCUUCAGGGUCUCUGAGCCCCUUAGGAGCUCACAGUAUCUCUAGCCUGGUUGCCAUGUCAGACCCUCAUAUGUCAAUUACAUGUAUCCACUCUUUGGUCCUCACCACCCCCAGUGCUAUGGUUUGCAUGUGGUUUGUCCCCAUGGGUUCAUGUGCUGGAAGCAUGGUCCCUAGGGUGGCAAUGAGAGCUAGUGGGAACCUUAAGAGUUGUGAUAUAGGGGCUGGAGAGAUGGCUCAGCAGUUAAGGCUCUUGCCUGCAAAGCCUAAUGACCCCGGGCCAGUUCCCCAGUACCCAUGUAAAACCAGAUGCACAAAGUGGCACAUGUGCCCAUUCU